rnacentral:lncRNA from 1 species
AAUCACAUUCAUAAUACUUCAUUCAUGUUCAGUACACAAUGCAUAUACAAACAAUUGCACUCCUAUUCAUCAAAAAAUGUCAUUCAUCCAUACCAUACAUUAACAUAUAUAAAGAUUCAUUUGUUUUCUUCACUCAAGUUAGCUACAACCAUCAAGGAGAUACAUAAGUUGACAUACAGAGACAAGUUGCGAAAUUUGAUGGCUAAGAUCCUAACAGACCAAAUGUUUGGUCACUUGACCACUACAAAAUAUUAUGGAAGAGACCAAGUCUUCGAUCACCAAGCCAAUAUCAACCUCUGUAUGAACAAAAGGUGUCAACCAUGCUAUUUUCUGCCAUUUGUCCCUGCAAAAGAAAUUAUUGCCUUCUUGGAUAAAAGCACCAAAUAGGCAUAAACAUGAAAAACCUUUACACACUCUAUAGUGUAAUAAAUCCAUCAGGGCAUGUCACCUUUUAAGGAACCAAUGGAGCUGGUAUAAUAACAACAGGAAGAUAACUAAUGUCUGAAGCAAUAAGGGACAUACUUGGUCAAUCUUGAUGUAAAGUAUCUAGUAGUUUCUACAUAAGGCAAAACAAAUUUGGAUGUAAGCUGAAACAUAUGCCAGCAUAUAAAACAUUAAAAUGAAAAAUUAGUUUGUGAUGUAAAUAAGUAGCGUAGGAUCUGAAAUAUAUACCAGGAGCUGUCAGAAUUACCAACAACCAGUAGUUGAAGUAUGGUAAUAAUACAAUGUCAUUCCUGACAUGACUGGUGAUCCUAUUUUGGAUGGUUUAAUAUGUAUGAUAGCAAGCAAACAUGAAAGGAACAUGGAAAGUAUCAAUGCAUUGUUUCUUUUGCUAUAUCAUGUCUGAAUAGAGAUACUAAUUUUUGGACAGCAAGCUUGAGGUGAUCGCUGCUCUCAAACUACCCAGUAAAAAACCACAAAUAAAUACUCUCUGGAAAACUUAAGAUGUACACCACAACUUCUAUUUGGAGACUAACCCAAAACUCAACGUGUACCAAACAGAUGUUUAACCCAAAUCUUACUACACCAUAACUAUUAUGAGGUAACUGAACUGCUAGUUGAAACUGCGAUCAACGCUGGAGAUGUUGUAUCAUAUCCACCCACUAUGGCCAGAGUGUUGUAGUGGCCUAAACAAAUUGGUACUAGUGUACUUCUGUUCUUAGUGUAACUGGAGAAUCCCCUACAAGUUUAACCGUGGCUACCUUGGCGAAAGCUCAGGCCAUCUACAAAUAUACAGUGGCUGACAAGUGGGCCAUCUUACCUUUUUUAUUGUCUUUUUUAACUACUGCCACUGCCUUGCUGGUGGCUGCGAGGCAGCUGAUGCACAUGUCGGUGGGGUGGCAUGUGCCUCGCGUUGUGUGUAGUUCAUGUGCACAUGCCAACUCAUGCAGAUAAGUCGUCUGGACUGAGGUGAACACAAAAUGUUCAAGGUGUAAUUUAUUAAAGCAACGAGAAUUGCUAUGUUUUUGCUUCACGUAUGAAUGCAUACGUGUCCGCUUGCAUCCCUACACAUAGAUGGUUCCACCCCGCUACCACAAAUAGUGCAUAACCAAAGCGAACCUAAAAUUGUAUGCGAAGAAUGUGUCUAUAGCCAGGCGCGGCGGAGUGUGCCUUUCUGUCUAGUAUACUUAGGAGUGACACAAACAGGAUGUGGUCUGGCUGAAACAACAAAACUUUUAAACUGUCAGAAUGUCUUAUUUAGUUAAUUAGAAAAUUUUCAAGUUGUUAACCCUGAGCAUUUUCCUGUCAGCAAGUUUAGUAGCUUGACUGAACAGUUAUGUUGCAAUUGAGAAUAUUUGCAUAUAUAGAAGCUCCCUUCGUACCACUGAACAUAUAAGAUGUAGUAGAUUAGAAACAAACUUACUGAUCUUUGUGGCUAGAUCUUUAUCUGUACUAGCUCGAAAAAACAUUGCACGAAGGAUAUUCCAAAAGAAUGUUGGACAGGGAAAUAAAAUUCAGCUUUUUCCUCAGGCGACUACACAGGGUAGUUUUGCUAGCAUUAGUUCCAUACUUCCAUGAUAGUUGUUCCAGAAGUGCACAAUGAUGCUUUACUAGCCUGAAAAUAAAUAACACUUUCUUAGUUCACUCACAUAGUACUGAAUACAGAAUCAAAUUGGCAGCAGGCGUGCAGUAUCAAUAUCAAAGUGCCAUGUUGACUAUUAGCAUAAGCAGAAUUUAGCUGCUAUAGGUUUCACAUACUAACAAUUAAUUAAUUUGUAUAAAAUUCACCUUUGGCUCUAUUGGUUAGUACACUUAGCAACAAAUGGUGUGGUUUCUUUGAGAAGUAACAGAGGAACCUUACCAUUACCAACCAUGGUAUAAACGUUUUGUCUAAAAACAAUGAAUGAACACUCUUUUUUUCUAUUACUGAUCUAAUUGUUGAUAGAGAACACUGUAUGCUAAUAUAAUUACGCAGCCAUCUGAUUCAUGUGCUUAUAAUGCAUAAUGCAAUUAACUAGAUGCAUGUUACUUUUCAGUACGUAAUUGAACCACAAUUCCUAGUAUAGUCGUAGAGAGAACCACUCAUUUUAGUCUAGUGAGAUGUACUUCUUUGGGACUGGAUCCAGUUUGUGAUAUGUGGCGCAUUUUGUGUUCUUGGUAGGAAAGCAGAAGACAGGUCAUUGUUCUUCUAAAUGGAGGAAACUAGCGCAACCUCACCAUUGCCAGUCUUGGCAUGCCCAACCGGUCCGCGUAGUGUUCCAGCCAUAUUAGGUGAAUUCUUAGCAUCAAAAGUGCUAAUCUUUCUGGUUCUUCCUGCAAAGGGAAAUAGGAAGACUGAGACCCAAUCAUUUCAAAGGUAGUAGUAAUUAGUAAAUACUGAAACCCUGAGACUGAAUGCUGGAUAUAAAUGUGAUAAGAGACAGGCCUGAGUGGUUGAGCUCAGCUACAAGCAUAGAGUCCACGAGCUUCAGAACAUCCCCAGCAAUAGUCAAACCUCAUUAAAGUUGAUAACAAUUGCAAAGUUCUACUUAUGAGAAGGAAGCUAGCCUGAACUAAAACCAGUAGCAUGUUUCUAGAUAGGCACGUCACCCAUGGAAGAGCAAGUGAAAUAUAAUGCAUCUCGCUGAAUCCACGAAACACCCAGGCCAAGGCAUGGCGCACAAAUCUACUAAUUGUCGGGCAGUCUUAUAGAAACCAUUCUCUGAAACAACACAUGUUGCAGAAUACAUCCCAAAUCAACAACAACAAAAACAACAUUAUAAUAACAUGAUGGUACUAAUUGAGAAUGAAGAGUUGCAACAUAGUUAAGUGAAUAAACAAUGUAGACGGGACUAGAAAAUUACAAAAACAUAUAAUAAGAUAGUAUGCAACACCAGUUAGUAAAGUAUAUAUACUUCAAUUUGUCCUGAAAUCAACUAAAUACUUAAUUUACCCUAAUUAUAAAAUGAGUGAUGGAUGGUUAGCACUCUGAAAUCUCCAAUCUCCAACGAACUGACAUGAUCUUGUUCAGUUCAUCGUUGAGCCAACAAGAUUCAUGGGCAAUCACAUUCAUGGAGAAACGAGAAAUAACCUAUUAAGCAGAAAGGGGAGAGGGGAG